rnacentral:rRNA from 1 species
GUGGUUUAAUUCGAUGCAACGCGAAGAACCUUACCUGGUCUUGACAUCCACGGAAGUUUUCAGAGAUGAGAAUGUGCCUUCGGGAACCGUGAGACAGGUGCUGCAUGGCUGUCGUCAGCUCGUGUUGUGAAAUGUUGGGUUAAGUCCCGCAACGAGCGCAACCCUUAUCCUUUGUUGCCAGCGGUCCGGCCGGGAACUCAAAGGAGACUGCCAGUGAUAAACUGGAGGAAGGUGGGGAUGACGUCAAGUCAUCAUGGCCCUUACGACCAGGGCUACACACGUGCUACAAUGGCGCAUACAAAGAGAAGCGACCUCGCGAGAGCAAGCGGACCUCAUAAAGUGCGUCGUAGUCCGGAUUGGAGUCUGCAACUCGACUCCAUGAAGUCGGAAUCGCUAGUAAUCGUGGAUCAGAAUGCCACGGUGAAUACGUUCCCGGGCCUUGUACACACCGCCCGUCACACCAUGGGAGUGGGUUGCAAAAGAAGUAGGUAGCUUAACCUUCGGGAGGGCGCUUACCACUUUGUGAUUCAUGACUGGGGUGAAGUCGUAACAAGGUAACCGUAGGGGAACCUGCGGUUGGAUCACCUCCUUA